rnacentral:rRNA from 1 species
GGAUGCGAUCAUACCAGCACUAACGCACCGGAUCCCAUCAGAACUCCGAAGUUAAGCGCGCUUGGGCGAGAGUAGUACUAGGAUGGGUGACCCCCUGGGAAGUCCACGUGUUGCAUCCC